rnacentral:rRNA from 1 species
UACGUAGGGGGCAAGCGUUGUCCGGAUUUAUUGGGCGUAAAGAGCUCGUAGGCGGCUUGUUGCGUCGGCUGUGAAAACCCGCGGCUUAACUGCGGGCUUGCAGUUGAUACGGGCAGGCUAGAGUUCGGUAGGGGAGACUGGGAUUCCUGGUGUAGCGGUGAAAUGCGCAGAUAUCAGGAGGAACACCGGUGGCGAAGGCGGUUCUCUGGGCCUGACCUGACGCUGAGGAGCGAAAGCGUGGGGAGCGAACAGG